rnacentral:rRNA from 1 species
UAAGAGCUUGCUCUUACGGGUGGCGAGUGGCGGACGGGUGAGGAAUACAUCGGAAUCUACUUUUUCGUGGGGGAUAACGUAGGGAAACUUACGCUAAUACCGCAUACGACCUACGGGUGAAAGCAGGGGAUCUUCGGACCUUGCGCGAUUGAAUGAGCCGAUGUCGGAUUAGCUAGUUGGCGGGGUAAAGGCCCACCAAGGCGACGAUCCGUAGCUGGUCUGAGAGGAUGAUCAGCCACACUGGAACUGAGACACGGUCCAGACUCCUACGGGAGGCAGCAGUGGGGAAUAUUGGACAAUGGGCGCAAGCCUGAUCCAGCCAUACCGCGUGGGUGAAGAAGGCCUUCGGGUUGUAAAGCCCUUUUGUUGGGAAAGAAAUCCAGCCGGCUAAUACCUGGUUGGGAUGACGGUACCCAAAGAAUAAGCACCGGCUAACUUCGUGCCAGCAGCCGCGGUAAUACGAAGGGUGCAAGCGUUACUCGGAAUUACUGGGCGUAAAGCGUGCGUAGGUGGUUGUUUAAGUCUGUUGUGAAAGCCCUGGGCUCAACCUGGGAACUGCAGUGGAAACUGGACAACUAGAGUGUGGUAGAGGGUAGCGGAAUUCCCGGUGUAGCAGUGAAAUGCGUAGAGAUCGGGAGGAACAUCCAUGGCGAAGGCAGCUACCUGGACCAACACUGACC